UAAUAAGUGUUGUAUGGCACUUUUUUAAAUCCAUAUCCACCUUGUGUGCAAUGUCAGUCGAUCUUCUUCAUGGAGAUCGACCAAACAUCAACCUUUAUUUUUUAACUCUUUGUCUGAAAAAUAUUAUGAAUAAACAAUUCAAAAUA
rnacentral:misc_RNA from 1 species